rnacentral:rRNA from 1 species
UACGUAGGUGGCAAGCGUUGUCCGGAUUUACUGGGCGUAAAGGGCGUGCAGGCGGUUUGUUAAGUCUAGGGUGAAAGCUCCCGGCUCAACUGGGAGAGGUCCUUGGAUACUGGCAGACUUGAGGAGGGUAGAGGAGAGUGGAAUUCCCGGUGUAGUGGUGAUAUGCGUAGAUAUCGGGAGGAACACCAGUGGCGAAGGCGGCUCACUGGCCCGAUACUGACGCUGAUGCACGAAAGCGUGGGGAGCAAACAGG